GUGCUGAGUGGGCAAGAAGUGUAACAGAGAAGAAAACUCAAUAAUGGCAGGAUCCCGGAUUUGACCAAGGUGGCAAAAUACCAAGUCCGUUAACAUAAAGCAGAUAAAUAAAUGCUGUGAUUUUCAUCUCUUGGCUGAGUAACAAAGCUACAAUGUACGGUCGCAGAACUGAAGCAGGAUUUUUCAACCAGUGGACUUUACAUAAGGUGACCAGAUAGGAAUCUGUCCCAUCUUCUUGAUGGCAGAGGUGGGGGUGGUUUGACCCAAAAUUCAGCACCAAAGAGCCUGGUUCUUGGCAUCUUGUGAGCCACGACAUCUACCUGUUGGUAUCUAGAAAUAACUCCAUACGAAUCAGGAUACUCCUAAUAUCUGGCAUUAGGCUGACUCAUACCCAGUUUUCCCGUAUCCUGCACAGUAGUAUUGCAUGAAUCUUAGGGAUUUCAGCUUGAACUUUACAACCUGCUAACAGCAGUCAAUGUGCAAGGCACAGUUUCUAAACCAGUGCCUCUCAAAUUACCCAUUAUGAAAGACUAACUCUCUUUCCCAAUCCUUCAUAAACCAAUACUUGUGGUCUAUAGUCUGUUCAGCAAGAUAAUUUCUACUUAUCACACACUUGGAUGUUGUAGAUAUGUUAAAUUGCUCUGUAAGUUUUUAAAUGCUUACCCUUGAUUUCUGUGCUUUUCUCAUUGUGACAUAACAAACAGUUCAUGAACCAGCAUAGCCUCUAUUAACAUUUUCUUCCACUUGUGGAUGGAGCAGGCAUCCAUCAUGUCCAUGCUGUUCUACAUCUAUUCCCUCCCCUCACUCCUUCCCAGCAGCUCCUAAUUCCCUUCUGGGGACCCAUGCUGCUCUGGGGAAGAUGACAACACCCCUGGCUACAGGCAUGUGACACGUGACCUAGGAGGAGGCCCAUUGUAAAGGAGGGCAGAGAGCAUCAGAGUCAGGAAAAAGGACUAAUAACAU